UACGUAGGGUCCAAGCGUUAUCCGGAAUUACUGGGCGUAAAGCGUGCGCAGGCGGCGCGUUAAGUGAGAUAUUAAAUCCAGCGGCUCAACCGUUUGGCCGUAUCUCAUACUGGCGUGCUAGAGGAUGGCAGAGGCAAGUGGAACUCGUAGUGUAGCAGUGAAAUGCGUAGAUAUUACGAGGAACACCAAUGGCGAAGGCAGCUUGCUGGGCCAUUUCUGACGCUCAGGCACGAAAGCGUGGGGAGCGAACAGG
rnacentral:rRNA from 1 species